GUAUGGGCAGGCUCCGGGCCGGGGGCGGCGGGUGCGGGCCCGGCGUGGGGCCGGGGUGGCGGGGAGCACGGCUGCCCUCGGCUGUGGAGAGGGCGGAAUGACGGCACUCCGCAGGGUGAACACGGCCUGAAGAAUCCUCACGGUAAAGACAGAACUGCUUUUCUUCUUGUGGAGAAACAUCCCAGAAGCCACACUUUGAACCGACUUUCUACGUUCAGCCUUGAAACUACAAGCAGAGUCAUGCACAAACCAACUAAUUCACAGAUCAAGCAAAAUGACUGUGUGAAUGUAGAGGACAGAGCAUACAGCCCUCCUAUCACCAGAACAGACCAUGGCCACCACUAAGCAAGUCCAUUUUGCUUUUCUUUAUAAAAGCAAGUUAAAAGUGAGAAAUGGCAACAAGAAGAUCCCAAAUCAAGACAAGGUUUUUGGAUGUGGCAUGUUGUCACGUAGAUGGUCCCAUUCUAUCUAACCAUUCAUGUUGGAAAGCUGGGCACAAGCAGAAGGAAGACUUCCAUGGACAGCAGAUAUUGUGUCCUAGAAAAAGGAAAAUGCAUCCUUGAGUCACACAUCAGUCCAUUCAACACAUACUAUGAAACACAAUUUUUGGAAUACACCACCUGCUCUGUGUGCACAGUUUAGACUGCAGAAAAGGAUAGGCUGAAGAACUUGCAGACAGACGAAACCAGGGCAAUAACCAGGGCAAUCUCAAAUCAUCCUUAUACUCUGUUUUUUUCUGCAUUAAAGAGUUACUUUAGGUCAUGUGUGGACUUGUUCUUUUUACUGUAUCAGCUAAAGCAAGUACUAUGGAGAUAGUCCCUACACAUGACCCUAUGCAGUUUCUAAGGGCCACCUUCAAUUGGUUUAACCCUUGCCUUUUCCUCUUUGUGUUGACUUUAGCAGCAGGCUGUUGUGAGCAUGACGCUUAAUACUUGAUAGGUUCCCUGGUUUCCAGGCUCCCGGGAGGAGAUGUGGGGCUGCUUCUGGUUGACUUGCUAAACAAUAAGGCAGCACCAUAUAAGUAAGUUUAGAACACGUUACAGAGGAGGGAAAACUGGGAUGUCAGGAAAAGCAGAGUUCAUGUCAGAUCAUCUAUGGUAAACACUGCACAGGGAAAAUUUCUGAAAGUGGACAGUGAACUCGGAAGUUGUCCUCAGAGGACAAAUCCAAACCCUGGUCCACAACUUAAACAAAUCUUGUAAGUAUGUGACUAUGAAAGGCUCAUUUUAACCAUCCAAACUGCGGAGUACACAGUUGUGAUAUGAAAAA